rnacentral:rRNA from 1 species
CCUACGGGUGGCAGCAGUGAGGAAUAUUGGUCAAUGGACGAGAGUCUGAACCAGCCAAGUAGCGUGAAGGAUGACUGCCCUAUGGGUUGUAAACUUCUUUUAUAUGGGAAUAAAACGUUCCACGUGUGGGAUUUUGUAUGUACCAUAUGAAUAAGGAUCGGCUAACUCCGUGCCAGCAGCCGCGGUAAUACGGAGGAUCCGAGCGUUAUCCGGAUUUAUUGGGUUUAAAGGGAGCGUAGGUGGAUUGUUAAGUCAGUUGUGAAAGUUUGCGGCUCAACCGUAAAAUUGCAGUUGAAACUGGCAGUCUUGAGUACAGUAGAGGUGGGCGGAAUUCGUGGUGUAGCGGUGAAAUGCUUAGAUAUCACGAAGAACUCCUAUUGCGAAGGCAGUUCACUGGACUGCAACUGACACUGAGGCUCGAAAGUGUGGGUAUCAAACAGGAUUAGAUACCCUUGUAGUC